rnacentral:rRNA from 1 species
GUAGGUGGCAAGCGUUGUCCGGGAAUUAUUGGGCGUAAAGCGCGCGCAGGCGGGGUCCUUUAAGUCUGAUGUGAAAAGCCCACGGGCUCAACCGUGGAGGGGUCAUUGGAAACUGGGGGGACUUGAGUACAGAAGAGGAAAGCGGAAUUCCAAGUGUAGCGGUGAAAUGCGUAGAGAUUUGGAGGAACACCAGUGGCGAAGGCGGCUUUCUGGUCUGUAACUGACGCUGAGGCGCGAAAGCGUGGGGAGCAAACAGGAUUAGAUACCCUGGUAGUCCACGCCGUAAACGAUGAGUGCUAAGUGUUAGGGGGUUUCCGCCCCUUAGUGCUGCAGCUAACGCAUUAAGCACUCCGCCUGGGGAGUACGGCCGCAAAGGCUG